CCCUUAGAUGUUCUGGGCCGCACGCGCGCUACACUGACGAAGGCAACGAGCUUUCCUUUACCGAAAGGUACGGGUAAUCUUUUGAAACUUCGUCGUGCUGGGGAUAGAUCCUUGCAAUUUUUGAUCUUAAACGAGGAAUGCCUAGUAAGCGCAAGUCAUCAACUUGCGUUGAUUACGUCCCUGCCCUUUGUACACACCGCCCGUCGCUACUACCGAUUGAAUGGUCAGGUGAGCCAUUCGGACUUUCAUCAUGCUGGUUUCCAGUUUUGAUGAAGGAAAGUCUUGCGAACCUUAUCAUUUAGAGGAAGGAGAAGUCGUAACA
rnacentral:rRNA from 1 species